AGAGUUUGAUCAUGGCUCAGGAUGAACGCUGGCGGCGUGCCUAACACAUGCAAGUCGAACGGAGCUAUUUUUGGAGACUUCGGUCAAAGAAGCUUAAGCUUAGUGGCGGACGGGUGAGUAACGCGUGGAGAACCUGCCCUGUACUGGGGGAUAACAGUGAGAAAUCACUGCUAAUACCGCAUAAGCGCACGGAGCCGCAUGGCUCAGUGUGAAAAACUCCGGUGGUACAGGAUGGCUCCGCGUUGGAUUAGCCAGUUGGCGGGGUAACGGCCCACCAAAGCGACGAUCCAUAGCCGGCCUGAGAGGGUGAACGGCCACAUUGGGACUGAGACACGGCCCAGACUCCUACGGGAGGCAGCAGUGGGGAAUAUUGCACAAUGGGGGAAACCCUGAUGCCAGCGACGCCGCGUGAAGGAAGAAGUAUCUCGGUAUGUAAACUUCUAUCAGCAGGGAAGAUGAUGACGGUACCUGACUAAGAAGCCCCGGCUAACUACGUGCCAGCCGCCGC
rnacentral:rRNA from 1 species